rnacentral:misc_RNA from 1 species
GAUGAAGAACGUAGCGAAAUGCGAUAAGUAAUGUGAAUUGCAGAAUUCAGUGAAUCAUCGAAUCUUUGAACGCACAUUGCGCCCGUUAGCAUUCUAGCGGGCAUGCCUGUCCGAGCGUCAUUUCAACCCUCAGGGUCCCCGUUCCGGCGGGGAACCUGGUGUUGGGGAUCGGCCCGCCCCGUGCGGCGCCGUCCCCCAAAUUCAGUGGCGGUCUCGCUGCAGCCUCCCCUGCGUAGUAGUUACAACCUCGCAUCGGAGCUCAGCGCGGCCACGCCGUAAAACCCCCGACUUUCUGAAUGUUGACCUCGGAUCAGGUAGGAAUACCCGCUGAACUUAAGCAUAUCAAUAAGCGGAGGA